rnacentral:rRNA from 1 species
AACGAACGCUGGCGGCAUGCCUAACACAUGCAAGUCGAACGAGACCUUCGGGUCUAGUGGCGCAUGGGUGCGUAACGCGUGGGAACCUGCCCUUAGGUUCGGAAUAACUCCCCGAAAGGGGUGCUAAUACCGGAUAAUGUCCUCGGACCAAAGAUUGAUCGCCUUGGGGUGGGCACGCGUUGGAUUAGCUAGUUGGUAGGGUAAAAGCCUACCAAGGCGGCGAUCCAUAGCUGGUCUGAGGGGAUGAUCAGCCACACUGGGACUGGGAGACGUCCCAAAUUCUGGCGAGAGGGAGCAAUCGUGAUUCAGGGACACUGGGUGAGUGCAGGAGCCAUCAAGGCCGUGAAAGUGUUGAGGGGGGAAGGAUAGUAAAGCUCUUAUUACCGGGAUGAUAAGAACGGAACCAAAGGAAUAAGCCCCGGCUAACUCCUU